rnacentral:rRNA from 1 species
UACGUAGGGGGCUAGCGUUGUCCGGAAUCAUUGGGCGUAAAGCGCGUGUAGGCGGUCCGGUAAGUCCGCUGUGAAAGUCGAGGGCUCAACCCUCGAAUGCCGGUGGAUACUGUUGGGCUUGAGUACGGGAGAGGCGAGUGGAAUUCCUGGUGUAGCGGUGAAAUGCGCAGAUAUCAGGAGGAACACCGAUUGCGAAGGCAGCUCGCUGGAACGUUACUGACGCUGAGACGCGAAAGCGUGGGGAGCAAACAGG